rnacentral:rRNA from 1 species
CUUGCUCCUUUGACGUUAGCGGCGGACGGGUGAGUAACACGUGGGUAACCUACCUAUAAGACUGGAAUAACUCCGGGAAACCGGGGCUAAUGCCGGAUAACAUAUAGAACCGCAUGGUUCUAUAGUGAAAGAUGGUUUUGCUAUCACUUAUAGAUGGACCCGCGCCGUAUUAGCUAGUUGGUAAGGUAAUGGCUUACCAAGGCGACGAUACGUAGCCGACCUGAGAGGGUGAUCGGCCACACUGGAACUGAGACACGGUCCAGACUCCUACGGGAGGCAGCAGUAGGGAAUCUUCCGCAAUGGGCGAAAGCCUGACGGAGCAACGCCGCGUGAGUGAUGAAGGGUUUCGGCUCGUAAAACUCUGUUAUUAGGGAAGAACAUAUGUGUAAGUAACUGUGCACAUCUUGACGGUACCUAAUCAGAAAGCCACGGCUAACUACGUGCCAGCAGCCGCGGUAAUACGUAGGUGGCAAGCGUUAUCCGGAAUUAUUGGGCGUAAAGCGCGCGUAGGCGGUUUCUUAAGUCUGAUGUGAAAGCCCACGGCUCAACCGUGGAGGGUCAUUGGAAACUGGGAAACUUGAGUGCAGAAGAGGAAAGUGGAAUUCCAUGUGUAGCGGUGAAAUGCGCAGAGAUAUGGAGGAACACCAGUGGCGAAGGCGACUUUCUGGUCUGUAACUGACGCUGAUGUGCGAAAGCGUGGGGAUCAAACAGGAUUAGAUACCCUGGUAGUCCACGCCGUAAACGAUGAGUGCUAAGUGUUAGGGGGUUUCCGCCCCUUAGUGCUGCAGCUAACGCAUUAAGCACUCCGCCUGGGGAGUACGACCGCAAGGUUGAAACUCAAAGGAAUUGACGGGGACCCGCACAAGCGGUGGAGCAUGUGGUUUAAUUCGAAGCAACGCGAAGAACCUUACCAAAUCUUGACAUCCUUUGACCACUCUAGAGAUAGAGUUUUCCCCUUCGGGGGACAAAGUGACAGGUGGUGCAUGGUUGUCGUCAGCUCGUGUCGUGAGAUGUUGGGUUAAGUCCCGCAACGAGCGCAACCCUUAAGCUUAGUUGCCAUCAUUAAGUUGGGCACUCUAGGUUGACUGCCGGUGACAAACCGGAGGAAGGUGGGGAUGACGUCAAAUCAUCAUGCCCCUUAUGAUUUGGGCUACACACGUGCUACAAUGGACAAUACAAAGGGCAGCUAAACCGCGAGGUCAUGCAAAUCCCAUAAAGUUGUUCUCAGUUCGGAUUGUAGUCUGCAACUCGACUACAUGAAGCUGGAAUCGCUAGUAAUCGUAGAUCAGCAUG